rnacentral:rRNA from 1 species
GUCGUCAGGAUGAACGCUGGCGGCGUGCCUAACACAUGCAAGUCGAGCGAUUACUUCGGUAAAGAGCGGCGGACGGGUGAGUAACGCGUGGGUAACCUGCCUCAUACACAUGGAUAACAUACCGAAAGGUAUGCUAAUACAGGAUAAUAUAAGAGAUUCACAUGGAUUUCUUAUCAAAGCUCCGGCGGUAUGAGAUGGACCCGCGUCUGAUUAGCUAGUUGGUAAGGUAAUGGCUUACCAAGGCGACGAUCAGUAGCCGACCUGAGAGGGUGAUCGGCCACAUUGGAACUGAGACACGGUCCAAACUCCUACGGGAGGCAGCAGUGGGGAAUAUUGCACAAUGGGCGAAAGCCUGAUGCAGCAACGCCGCGUGAGUGAUGAAGGCCUUCGGGUCGUAAAACUCUGUCCUCAAGGAAGAUAAUGACGGUACUUGAGGAGGAAGCCCCGGCUAACUACGUGCCAGCAGCCGC